GAUGAACGCUAGCGGCAGGCUUAAUACAUGCAAGUCGAACGGUAACAGGUGUAGCAAUACAUGCUGACGAGUGGCAGACGGGUGAGGAACACGUACGCAAUCUUCCUCUUUCUGGUGAAUAGCCCUGAGAAAUUAGGAUUAAUACACCAUAGUAUUACGAAACGGCAUCGUUUUGUAAUUAAAACUCCGGUGGAAAGAGAUGAGCGUGCGUCUGAUUAGCUAGUUGGUAAGGUAACGGCUUACCAAGGCAACGAUCAGUAACUGGUGUGA
rnacentral:rRNA from 1 species